rnacentral:lncRNA from 1 species
CACAGAAGGAGUUGAGUGAUGGUAGAUAUCAGGCCCUGGUCUGCGGCUUGGAAGUUUCCUGUGAAUAAGAAAAACAUCAUCGCUUCUUGAGUCACAAGGAUGAUAGGAUGAGAAAAAGAAAGGACAAAGGCACCAGAGGAGGUAUGCCAAAUGGGAAACUUUUCAUCACUUUCCAGAUAAAAACUAGCAGUCUGUGAAGGCAACUGGUCUGAUUUUUCAGGAACCAGACACUGGAACAUGUCGUCUGAUGUACAUCACACCAAGAAAUAAAAAAAGAAUUGGAAAGCCAAUGUCCAAUUAUUUACUAAAACAGAAUCCACUGGAGAGAAAUGCAAAGGCAGGUAAAAAGGCAAUCUCUUAACAUGAAAACUCACAACUGUAAAAUGAGAACCUAAACUAUACAGCGACAAACUCAGGAAAAAGUCUCCAGCUACUGCUGUCUCUCAGACUCUCACAGUAUGUGUAACCACUUCCUCCUCUGCACGGAAUCACCCCAGAAGAUCAACUCUACUAGAUCAUUUGAGGACAAUGAACAAAGUCUCAAGACUGAAUUCCCACAGAAAACAUUCUCAUGAAACCACCCAAUAUUCUGGUGAAGUUAAAGAAGGGCAUGUGUUCGGAGACAACCAGAAGCAGCAAUGCUCAAAACCACAAAACUCUGGAUUGCCGACUCUGCACAUCCUGGUUCCUCUAGAUACAGUUCAGUGGCACAUUCACAAAUAAACGUUUUCAAAAACUGCCCUCAGGCAGUUCUAGAGAAAUGCUUUGACUUGCCUAAUGGUAUAAUGUCAAGAAAGGAAGACGAGCACUGAUCAUUCAUACUCAUUAUUACAGUCACAGGGCACUGUCUGACUUGACAGAUACAGCCGAGCAGUUAAAAGGUUAUGGGAAUUUAAGUCCAUUAUGGUCAUACGAUUCUUAUGGACCCAGAGAUAUGAAAUUAAUCAGCCACAUGUGUAGGGACAAAGUUUGUCAUAAAUAGAUAUAAGUUAUCUGCAUGCUAAGAACUUAGUUACUUAACUCUGUUUCCUCAUGUUAAUAUAAACAUAAUUAUAGAAUGCAAAUGAAAUACUUAGCCUGGAGCCUAUUAUAUAGGAAGCACUCAAUAAUUUCAAACUAUUGAGUAUAUUAUUAGAUAGGCUCCAUAAUUAUUUAUUCCUUUUUCAACAGACAGUAUGAUCUAUUGAAAAUAAAGCCAAACUAGAUUUCUUUGACCCACUCCUUUUUCUGUUUGUAUUGUUGGCAAGUUGUUCUAAAUCAACUUGCCAACAUACUAUUAACAUGUUAUUAACAUAGAAGGGAUGCUUAUUUUGUUUGCUUUGUAAGAAAUGCUUCUGAUUCAGUAACUGGGCAAUUUAUUUAAAUAUAAGUAAAAAGCAGAUUUUAUUAAAAACUACUUUGUGCUAUCAUAAAUAA